AUGAACCACAUACGCUCAUCCUCCACGGCGGAGACAUGCGCGCAGACGUACAACUUCCUCCCCUGCACCACCACUGCGCUUGGCAACCUCUUCCUGGUUCUUGCCUACGGCUUCCUUAGUUACAAGGUGCGAGUUUCCUUCUUGACGACUGGGAGUGACUUGCUGCUGGGGACCAUCGGCCCCAGCUAUGCCGGCGGCCACGGCCACAUCAUCACGCUCCUGCUCCCGAUGCUUGGCGCCCUCCCCGACGCCCUCCUCGUGCUCGGUACGUCCCCAUUAAAAUUCCGCCUACUAAUUAAGGCCUUUUUCGGUUGA
rnacentral:rRNA from 1 species